ensembl:snRNA U4 U4 spliceosomal RNA
AGCUUUGUGCAGUGUCAGUAUCGUAGCCAAUGACGUUUAUCCGCGGUGCGAUUAUUGCUGUCUUGCUACUCUUAUGAACAAAGAUUAAUCUUAACUUCUAAGAGAGAAACGUUAUUUAUAGAAAAAUGAAACUAAU